ACAAUUGGGCAAAAUCAUCUAACACAAAGCCUGUUUUAUAAUAAAGUGUUGAAUAUCUCAUGUAAUUUACUGAAUACUGUCCUGAAAGUGAAAAACAGAAUGGUUGUGUGGGUCCAGAAUGGCUGUAUUGGUUAUUUGCCUCUGUGAUCGCAGGGCCGGGAGCUGUGCUCACUGCUGCUGAUCACAUUGCCAGCCCAGGAAAAGUCGAACCCCAAAUUCAAAGUGUGGUUUCUACUGAAUGUGUAUUGCUUUCGCACCACUAUACGAAUCCAGGGACAACUGCACUUUCAUUAUGAACAGUUGGAUCAUAAAGAGUCAACAGAACCAUCUGGAGUCCUUUAGGGAAGAUGACAAUGGCUGUGUCAGUGCUAUUUACUGCAUAAGAAUUAUGAGGCUUAAGUGGGGAACCUGCUGCUGGGAGCCUCCAGAGGCGGGUUUGAGAUGGAAAUACACUCAAGGAGGCGUGCCAUUUCUGGAACCUGAGGCAAACGCUCUCUUUUUUUCUACUUGGACAGGAAGAAAAUGCUUACUCAUUUACCUCCCCUGUUACACAAGAAAAUGGAAGCUGGAGCCAGAGAGAGGCACAGAGAUGGAGUGAGAGCUGGUAGGAAUGGGGUGUGGUAGUUUUUAAUAGCAGGGCAAAGGGUAUCUUCAGCAAAGAAAUAAAAGAGGACAUAAUUACCAGUGGCCAACUGUAGGAAGUGGUGACUAGUUUUCUACUUUGAGCUCUUAGACCGAUAUAUCUCCUAUUUUGUUUCUGCCAUCUGGUAAAUAAAAGAACAUUCCUUAACUGCUGGGAAUCAGGUAGGCAGGUGAGU